UACGGAGGGUCCAAGCGUUAUCCGGAAUCAUUGGGUUUAAAGGGUCCGUAGGCGGGCUAUUAAGUCAGAGGUGAAAGUUUGCAGCUCAACUGUAAAAUUGCCUUUGAUACUGAUAGUCUUGAAUUGUAGUGAAGUGGUUAGAAUAUGUGGUGUAGCGGUGAAAUGCAUAGAUAUCACAUAGAAUACCGAUUGCGAAGGCAGAUCACUAACUAUAUAUUGACGCUGAGGGACGAAAGCGUGGGGAGCGAACGGGAUUAGAUACCCCGGUAGUCCACGCCGUAAACGAUGGAUACUAGCUGUUGGAUUUUUUCAGUGGCUAAGCGAAAGUGAUAAGUAUCCCACCUGGGGAGUACGUUCGCAAGAAUGAAACUCAAAGGAAUUGACGGGGGCCCGCACAAGCGGUGGAGCAUGUGGUUUAAUUCGAUGAUACGCGAGGAGCCUUACCAGGGCUUAAAUGGGAAAUGACAGGGGCAGAGACGCCCCCUUCUUCGGACAUUUUUCAAGGUGCUGCAUGGUUGUCGUCAGCUCGUGCCGUGAGGUGUCAGGUUAAGUCCUAUAACGAGCGCAACCCCUACCGUUAGUUGCCAGCGAGUAAUGUCGGGGACUCUAACGGAACUGCCGGUGCAAACCGUGAGGAAGGUGGGGACGACGUCAAAUCAUCACGGCCCUUACGUCCUGGGCCACACACGUGCUACAAUGGUAGGUACAGAGGGAAGCCACCCCGCGAGGGGGAGCGGAUCUACAAAACCUAUCUCAGUUCGGAUCGGAGUUUGCAACUCGACUCCGUGAAGCUGGAAUCGCUAGUAAUCGGAUAUCAGCCAUGAUCCGGUGAAUACGUUCCCGGGCCU
rnacentral:rRNA from 1 species